rnacentral:rRNA from 1 species
UACGUAGGGUGCAAGCGUUGUCCGGAAUUAUUGGGCGUAAAGAGCUUGUAGGUGGUUUGUCGCGUCUGCUGUGAAAAUCCGAGGCUCAACCUCGGACUUGCAGUGGGUACGGGCAGACUAGAGUGUGGUAGGGGAGACUGGAAUUCCUGGUGUAGCGGUGAAAUGCGCAGAUAUCGGGAAGAACACCCGUGGGGAAGGCGGCUCUCUGGGACGGUACUGACGCUGAGACGCGAAAGCGUGGGGAGCGAACAGG